rnacentral:ribozyme from 1 species
GUUCAACACACCCUGGCACAUGAAGCACAGAAUGGUGAAAAAGGAAAGGAAAUUGAAAAGAAAAUGAAUGGAAAAGAUGCAAAGGUAAGGUAUAUAUUUUAUUGUGAUUGUAUUU